GCAUGGCCGUCGUCAGCUCGUGCCGUGAGGUGUUGGGUUAAGUCCCGCAACGAGCGCAACCCCCGCCGUUAGUUGCCAGCGGUUCGGCCGGGCACUCUAACGGGACUGCCCGCGAAAGCGGGAGGAAGGAGGGGACGACGUCUGGUCAGCAUGGCCCUUACGGCCUGGGCGACACACGUGCUACAAUGCCCACUACAAAGCGAUGCCACCCGGCAACGGGGAGCUAAUCGCAAAAAGGUGGGCCCAGUUCGGAUUGGGGUCUGCAACCCGACCCCAUGAAGCCGGAAUCGCUAGUAAUCGCGGAUCAGCCAUGCCGCGGUGAAUACGUUCCCGGGCCUU
rnacentral:rRNA from 1 species